rnacentral:lncRNA from 1 species
CUCGAAUAAAAAACAUAAUAUCAAAGAUGCUUGCUAUAUGGGGAAAAGUUUAAUUAUUAUUUUCAGAAAAGCAUCACGAGAUUGCUAUAUAGCUAAGUACACCUGGAUGUAAGAGUUUUUUUUACAGUAUUUUCUUUCUUUUUUUGAUGAUUGGAAAUUUGGGAGUAUGAGUUUAGUUUAUAUAUAUUUAAGUUUACUAUUUAUCAUUGUUAGUCAUUAUUAUAUAGUAAAAGUUAAAAAAAAAACAUCUAAAUCUAUAUAUUCGUUUUGUAGAUAUAUAUAAAAAAAACUCACAUGUCCACCAUGGCAGCUACCUCCUCUGGCUUCUCAACUGCAUGUUCAUGCCAUGUUUCAUUGGACCUGUUUUUUUUUUAACAAAACAUUUAUUAUUAUUAUUAUUAUACAAUCCAACAAAUUAUUGUCUCAUUUAUCACUUGCUAUAUAUAUUAAUAUAUCAAAAUUUAUUUACACACUGCUUUUUGUUUCCUUAUUUCUUUUCAAUUGAUCGAUAACUAUAGAAUUAGUAUGCAUGUCGCUAAUAUCAGGGAUGAUCAAAUUAUAUUUGAAAACUCAUCGAUCAAAACCAGCAAUACGGACCUCUUCAAGGUGUAUACAUACAGUAUAUAUUAAGGGGGGAAAUAAAUCAGGUUUCUGCAUUCUUGAUGAACGCUCACUAAUUCUUGGUGAACAGCAGAACAAGAACACGUAGAAUCAAAGCUACAUUGAGCUAGAAACUCUUUGAUGGAUCAUGGAUGUCAUACGUCUAACUAACCAAUGUAUAAAAUGAAGUGAGAAUCAUGAUGAUGAUACUAAAGUGAUU